AUUAUUAAUAUUUAAACUUAUAAAAAGUUUGAUAUAUCACAAUUUUUUAACAUCAUUAUAUAAUAUAUAGAGUUUAAAAAAAUCUUAAUUUUUUCCGUCAUAUUUUAUGAUUCAAAAUUUUAAAAAUGAACAUAUAUUAACCAAUUGGCAAACAAUGUGUGGGUUCAAUGUCUCGCAUCGACAAAAAUAUUUAGACAAUGAUUUAUAAACAUAUCAUAAAUAAGAUCAACAUUAAUAUAAAUAAAUGAUUUUUUUACGGGACGAGUUUGGCAGGACGUUACUUAAUAACAAUUGUAAGCUAUAAAAUAAAAAUAUAUUAUAAAUAGAUUCAAUUUGCAAAAAAAAAAA
rnacentral:sRNA from 1 species